rnacentral:rRNA from 1 species
UACGUAGGGGGCGAGCGUUGUCCGGAUUUAUUGGGCGUAAAGCGCCCGCAGGCGGUGCGCCAAGUGUGGGGUGACAGCGACCGGCUUAACCGGUCGAGUGUCCUACAGACUGGCGGACUUGAGGGCCACAGAGGGACAUGGAACUCCAGGUGUAGUGGUGAAAUGCGUAGAUAUCUGGAAGAACACCAAAGGCGAAGGCAGUGUCCUGGGUGGUCGCUGACGCUGAGAGGCGAAAGCCAGGGGAGCGAACGGG